rnacentral:rRNA from 1 species
AUUGAACGCUGGCGGCAGGCCUAACACAUGCAAGUCGAACGCGUGGCGGACGGGUGAAUCAUGUCUGGGAAACUGCCUGAUGGCGGGGGAUACCUACUGGAAACGGUAGCUAAUACCGCAUACCAUCAGAUGUGCCCAGAUGGGAUUAGCUUGUUGGUGGGGUACCGGCUCACCAAGGCGACGAUCCCUAGCUGGUCUGAGAGGAUGACCAGCCACACUGGAACUGAGACCCGGUCCAGACUCCUACGGGAGGCAGCAGUGGGGAAUAUUGCACAAUGGGCGCAAGCCUGAUGCAGCCAUGCCGCGUGUAUGAAGAAGGCCUGCGGGUUGUAAAGUACUUUCAGCGGUGAGGCGUUACCCGCAGAAGAAGCACCGGCUAACUCCGUGCCAGCAGCCGCGGUAAUAC